rnacentral:rRNA from 1 species
UACGUAGGGUGCGAGCGUUAUUCGGAAUUACUGGGCGUAAAGCGUGCGCAGGCGGUUUUGUAAGCCAGAUGUGAAAGCCCCGGGCUUAACCUGGGAAUGGCAUUUGGGACUGCAAGGCUUGAGUGCGGCAGAGGAGACUGGAAUUCCUGGUGUAGCAGUGAAAUGCGUAGAUAUUGGGAAGAACACCGGUGGCGAAGGCGGCGACCUGGUCCGUGACUGACGCUGAGGCGCGAAAGCGUGGGGAGCAAACAGG